GACGAACGCUGGCGGCGUGCCUAAUACAUGCAAGUCGAACGCAUUUUCUUUCACCGUAGCUUGCUACACCGAAAGAAAAUGAGUGGCGAACGGGUGAGUAACACGUGGGUAACCUGCCCAUCAGCGGGGGAUAACACUUGGAAACAGGUGCUAAUACCGCAUAAUUCCAUUUACCGCAUGGUAGAUGGAUGAAAGGCGCUUUUGCGUCACUGAUGGAUGGACCCGCGGUGCAUUAGCUAGUUAGUGGGGUAACGGCCUACCAAGGCUGCGAUGCAUAGCCGACCUGAGAGGGUGAUCGGCCACACUGGGACUGAGACACGGCCCAGACUCCUACGGGAGGCAGCAGUAGGGAAUCUUCGGCAAUGGACACAAGUCUGACCGAGCAACGCCGCGUGAGUGAAGAAGGUUUUCGGAUCGUAAAACUCUGUUGUUAGAGAAGAACAAGGAUGAGAGUGGAAAGUUCAUCCCUUGACGGUAUCUAACCAGAAAGCCACGGCUAACUACGUG
rnacentral:rRNA from 1 species